rnacentral:rRNA from 1 species
UAAGGAAUAUUGGACAAUGCCCGCAAGGGUGAUCCAGCCAUGCCGCGUGCAGGAAGAAGGCGCUAUGCGUCGUAAACUGCUUUUACACCAGGGAAAACCCCGCUACGUGUAGCGGGCUGAUAGUAUGGUGAGAAUAAGCAUCGGCUAACUUCGUGCCAGCAGCCGCGGUAAGACGAAGGAUGCAAGCGUUAUCCGGAUUCAUUGGGUUUAAAGGGAGCGUAGGCGGCCCUAUAAGUCAGUGGUGAAAUCUCUCGGCUUAACCGAGAAAUUGCCAUUGAUACUGUAGGGCUUGAGUACAGUUGCCGUUGGCGGAAUAUGACAUGUAGUGGUGAAAUACAUAGAGAUGUCAUAGAACACCGAUUGCGAAGGCAGCUAACGAAGCUGUAACUGACGCUGAGGCUCGAAAGUGCGGGGAUCAAACAGG